CGGCGUCCGACUUUGGCGUAAACGUUUCGAUCAACGUCUGGACGCCAGGAACAACGUCAGCGGUCAAUCAUAAACUAUACGCGAAUGUCGACGUCCUAUUCACAAAGUAGAAGUCAAACAGUGCUUGUGUGUGGUGCCGUGCAUUUUGUACUGCCGCUGCCGCCAAACACAACGUUCAUGCUCGAAUGCUUCGAAAUCACGAAAUGACUAGAGUAGAGACGCGGCGCACGGCCAUUUACGCCGUCGUAGGUCGCAUCCAGCGCCACGCCCCGUAGGCCGCGUCGAUACGAUCGAUGCUCACUUCACUAUAGAAAUGUACUGAUGCGGUCUCCCUCACUCACACGCCGACGCGACGUUGGCGCGUAAAUGCCGUAGGCUGCGUCCAUACGCCGUGCGCCACGUCACCACGUCUCUAGUCAUUUCGAAGCAUUGGAGCGUGAACGUUGUGUUUGGCGUCAGUACAAAAUGUCGAAUUUUAAUGUAGAAAAGGAUGAGUUAUUGAUUGAAUCAGUUAAAUGUUAUAAUGCACUGUUCAAUAAAAGUGACAAGGAAUAUAAAAAUUAUAUUUAUAAACACAAAUGUUGGGAGCAAAUUAGCGAAAUUGUCGGAUUGCCAGUUGCAGAUUGCAAAACCAGGUGGAAAAGUCUUCGAGACCAGUACAAUAAAAAGAUAAAAGAGGGUAGCGGCACAGGUUCAGCAAGAUUAAAUUGUACUUGGCAAUAUAUAAAUCUGAUGUCAUUCUUAUCAGAUGCCGUAAAUGAUUCACAGACAGGCAUUGAUUUUGAUGGAGACAUUUUGAUGACAACUGUUACAGAGGUUAAGGCCGAAAACAUACCGGCACAGGUAAACGUAGAUGACACUGAUGAGCCACCUCCAGGACCAUCCACAUCAGCCAUCCAUCCAUCAAGAUCCAAGAAACGAAAGCAAAGUAAAUUACAAGAAACUCAAAGACUAAAUUUACUAAAGACCGUUGUAAACAAUACACAGAAACAACCGCAAGUUCAACCUCCGUCGGCAACCAAAAAGUUUUUUGAGUCAAUGGCUGAAGUGGUAGAAACUUUCCCGCCGCGUGAACAAGCUAUCAUUAGAGCAAAAGUUUGUCAGUUAAUAACCGAUAUAGAAAUAGAACUGUCUUCAACAGGAACUCCUAUGCCUGAACAUGCUUGGGAUAGUGAUUAUUUUAACUUGAGAAAAGGGUCAAAAUAAUUAUUUAAUAUUCGAUUUUUAAUUUGACUGUUUGGUAUAAGUAUUAUAAGUUGAGUAUCUAAAAA